UCCCUUGUAGUCACCCUGCGGGAAGGAAACCAUAAACUCUGAUUUUUGUAGUAUUAGUCUGAGUGAUAAUCACAAUCAAACAAGUUAAAACUUUCAACAACGGAUCUCUUGGUUCUCGCAUCGAUGAAGAACGCAGCGAAAUGCGAUAAGUAGUGUGAAUUGCAGAAUUCAGUGAAUCAUCGAAUCUUUGAACGCACAUUGCGCCUUCUGGUAUUCCGGGAGGCAUGCCUGUUCGAGCGUCAUCAAACACAUCCUCAAGCGUCUUUGCUUGGUCUUGGAGGAAGAUGGUAACAUCUCCUCUCAAAUACCUCAGCGGAACCCUCUGCAGCCUCAGGUGUGAUAAUUACUUUUCACUUGGUGACUGUGGUUAUGUUCUUGCUGUCAAGAGCCCCCCCAGCUUCUAUGAGUUUGACCUCGGAUCAGGUAGGGAUACCCGCUGAACUUAAGCAUA
rnacentral:rRNA from 1 species